rnacentral:lncRNA from 1 species
UGCAAAUGAAAGAACUAGAAAAUUCUUUUCAGCUUUCCAAAAGCAAGAAAAUUUAUCCAUGUACAUUUUCUUCUUCUGCAUUAUACACUCAUGUUUUUGACAUACACUAAGAAGUAAGAACAAGGAAAAAAAUCACUUCGGAAAAUUAAAUUACAAGAUAUUAAUUGAAACACCAACAUUAACUGCCAGUCUGCCAUGAAAUGACUUUGUGGUGACGGUCUAGUAGUGUUGGUUGACGACGAAGCACUUCUCCCUGAUCUNNNNNNNNNNNNNNNNNNNNNNNNNNNNNNNNNNNNNNNNNNNNNNNNNNNNNNNNNNNNNNNNNNNNNNNNNNNNNNNNNNNNNNNNNNNNNNNNNNNNGGGAGAGGAUCUAUCAUGUAAUCGAGUUAGUUUUGACGGGGAUUGAUCCCUAGUAUCCACUAUGUUCUGAGAUUGAUGUUGCUACUACUUUGCCAUGCUUAAUGCUUGUCACUAGGGCCCGAGUGCCAUGAUUUCAGAUCUGAUAUUAUUAUGUUAUCACCAAUAUAUGUGUGUUUUAGAUCUGAUCUUGCAAGUUGUAGUUACCUACUAUGUGUUAUGAUCCGGCAACCUCGGAGUGACAAUAACCGGAACCACUCCCGCCGAUGACCAUAGUUUGAGGAGUUCAUGUGUUCACCAAGUGCUAAUGUGUUGUUCCUGUUCUUUAUUAAAAGGAGAACCUUAAUAUCCUAUAGUAUCCUUUUGGACCCCGCUGCCACGGGAGGGAUGGACAAUAGAUGUCAUGCAAGUUCUUUUCCCUAAGCACGUAUGACUACACACGGAAUGCAUGCCUAUAUCACAUUGAUGAACGUGAGCUAGCCACAUAUUUCUCCAUGUUAUAACUGUUGCAUGAUGAAUAUCAUCCAAACGAAUCACCGACCCAUUGCCUACGAGUUUGUCCCGCUGCUGCUGUUACUUGUCUUGCUCUGCUGCUACUGCUAUUACUACUGUCACUUGCUACUGUUGCUACUUACUACUGUUGUCACUACUGCUGUUCCUUGCCACUGUUGUUACUCGUUACACUGCUGCUACUUGCUAUAAUUUUGGUUCGCUGGUCGUUGACGGGAACAGACAAUUUCCGUCAACGGGAAACUUCUGGCACCAUUGAUACGACCGUUAGAAAUAGUCUACCUUAUCAACAGAUCAUUUCUGACACUGUUGUUAUCAUACUACUUUGCUGCUGACUCUUUGCUUGCAGAUACCAAUCUUUCAGGUGUGGUUGAAUCUGAUAAAUUCAGCUACUAAUACUCGAGAGCAUUCUCUCACCUCCUGGUGAAUCAACAAAUUUGGGUCGAAUACUCUACCCUCGAAAACUGCUGCGAACCCACGCGUUGGUGGGCCAUCAACAAUAUUCGUCUAGUUUCGUUGCCGGGGAGUGCUAGCAGCAUUCUUCUCGUGCCAUUGCAGGGGAAGGUCUGUUGUCACAGAGUCAGCAUUCGUCUAGCUAUUGCCAGAGAGUGCCAGCACCCUCCAUCCACGUGGCGCCACGCCCCCUUCCCCGCCGCCGGCGCCUUGAUACGUACCAAACGUAUCUAUAAUUUAUGAAGUAUUCAUCCCAUGUUUACAAUAAUUCUACAUGAUUUUGGUACGAUUUUAUUAGAACUAACCCGUACUGACGUUGUUUUCAGAAGAACUGCCAUGGUGUCAUUUUUUGUGCAGAAAUAAAAGUUCACGGAAUGGGAUGAAAAUUUACGAUGAUUUUUUAUGGACCAAAAGAUACCCCUGAAGCACCAGAGCUGGGCGAGGAAGUGGAUGAGGAAGCCACAAGCCUGCUGGGCGCGGCCACCCCGUGGGCCACACCCCUUGGCUUGUGACUUCCUCGGGAACCUUCCGGAUGUGAGAUCGACGCCAGAAAUUCCUAUAAAUACCAAAAACCCCAGAAAGAAACUUAGAUCUGGAGUUCCACCACGAGAAGGCUCCAGAGCCAUGAAAAAACCAAUCUUGGCCCUCUCCGGCACCCUGUCGGAGGGGGUCAUCUUCACCGGAGGCCAUCUUCGUCAUCCCGGCGGUCUCCAUAAUCUCCAUGGAGGCCAAGGGCCAGAGGGAGAACCUCUCCCCACUCGGGGGGGGCACGGAGGAGAAAGCACAAGGGGGAGAACCUCUCCCUCUC